ACGCUCGACACCUACGGGAGGUAGCAGUGAGGAAUAUUGGUCAAUGGACGCAAGUCUGAACCAGCCAUGCCGCGUGCAGGAUGACGGCUCUAUGAGUUGUAAACUGCUUUUGUACGAGGGUAAACGCAGAUACGUGUAUCUGUCUGAAAGUAUCGUACGAAUAAGGAUCGGCUAACUCCGUGCCUGCAGCCGCGGUAAUCUGAGGCGGGCUGGCAAGGC
rnacentral:rRNA from 1 species